rnacentral:rRNA from 1 species
GGCAGCAGGCGCGCAAAUUACCCAAUCCCGAUACGGGGAGGUAGUGACAAUAAAUACUGAUACAGGGCUCUUUUGGGUCUUGUAAUUGGAAUGAGAACAAUCUAAACACCUUAACGAGGAACAAUUGGAGGGCAAGUCUGGUGCCAGCAGCCGCGGUAAUUCCAGCUCCAAUAGCGUAUAUUAAAGUUGUUGCAGUUAAAAAGCUCGUAGUUGAACCUUGGGCCCGUCCUGCCGGUCCGCCUCACCGCGAGUACUGGUCCGGAUGGGCCUUUCUUUCUGGGGAAUCCCAUGGCCUUCACUGGCUGUGGUGGGGAACCAGGACUUUUACUGUGAAAAAAUUAGAGUGUUCAAAGCAGGCCUUUGCUCGGAUACAUUAGCAUGGAAUAAUAGAAUAGGACGUGCGGUUCUAUUUUGUUGGUUUCUAGGACCGCCGUAAUGAUUAAUAGGGAUAGUCGGGGGCGUCAGUAUUCAGCUGUCAGAGGUGAAAUUCUUGGAUUUGCUGAAGACUAACUA